AGCAACUUGACGCAGUGGAAGCGUGCAGGGCUCAUAUCUACCUUGAUACCCUGAAGUCCCUGGAUCGAAACCAGGAGUUGCUA